GGGCCUCUCACUGUUGUGGCUUCUCCCGUUGCGGAGCACAGGCUCCGGAUGCGCAGGCUCAGCGGCCAUGGCUCACGGGCCCAGCCGCUCCGCGGCAUGUGGAAUCUUCCCGGACCGGAGCACGAACCCGCGUCCCCUGCAUCAGCAGGCGGACUCUCAACCACUGUGCCACCAGGGAAGCCCUACUGUGUACUUUAAUACAAGGUCAUUCAAACUGCCAUCUACACGUGCAUAACAAUGAAAUUUUCAUAAACAAGCCGAAACACCCAGAGGCAUGGAGGGUUAUAAUGCGUGAAUAAUGCAUGUAUUAUGACAUUAUAACCUCAGAAAACAUAGAUUUCAUAACUCUAAAGCUCAACCUUGAAGAGGAUAAACAUGUCAUUCAAUGCUGUAGCAUUCCAACACUUGUUCAAAUGUCUUUGGAGCUUGAAAUCUAGAGCCACCAAAAUGUUUAAGAAUUAAAUUGAAAAAUAUUCUUUCAAAAUGCCUUAGCCAACCAAGCACGAGCGUUUUUUCCAUUGUGGCAAAACUGACCAUUGCCUUUGUUGGUCUCAUCGUGAUCCAUCAAGGAGCAUCCUUUACUCCCUGAGUGAAGAAAUUUGUGAAGUCAGCUUCUUUCUAGCUUUGACCAGAUGUGAUUUCUCUCUCCACAAUAACAUCCUGUCAAUAAUUUACUUGUCACACUUACAGAAUUCUGUAUUUUACUUGCUCUGAUUAUGUGUGAAGUUUUUGCUAUUUCAUCCUUAGAUUAUCCCUAAAAUUUAGCAACUGCAUCUCAGCUCCUCUGUAUUCUCAACAGUGCCCAUCCAAGGGCUGUGAAUAUCAAUAAACAUUUUUCCGAAUCCACAAAUCCCUACAAAAAUCUAUAGCCACUGGCAUAAAUACUGUACAUCCCAAGGAAAUGUGGAAGUUAAAGGAGGAGAAUCAUCAGCUGAGGAAUGAGCCUAUCAGAGUUCUCAAAAAUUCAACAAGAAGAUCCAGAAGAGUUCUAAACAUUUCUUCAUUUCUUUACGAAUGGUUAAUUCCUUACCAGUAGUGAGUCAGCAUCAAUGAUCUAAUUUUCAGAUGUUCACACCUUUGUUCAUUGGAAGCCAAGAUGAGAUCAGGAUGGUUUCAGAAGAGCAAUCAGGCUGGGAAGGUGUGUGAGGAACCAUUGGUAAAGGCGAAACGGGGAACCUCGUCAUUCUGGAAUGUGGACCUAAGAAGUACUGGGUUUCCCAGAAAGCUGAGCUGGACACAGAGUGUGUAUGCAGGAAGUUUACUCUGUGUGGUUCCAUCCCAAGGAACUGGAGUAGGAGACGAAAGGGUAUAACAAAGAAGGUGGGUUAUGAAGCCAAGCGUCACCUUGGGCAAUUGCGGCUCAAUCCUCCAGGCGGCGCUCUAAGAAGCUGCGGAGAGUACACCUCAAAAUCGUCCUCCAGAAGGACGAGCGAGAAAUUAUCCAUCAGCUUCCUUGUCCCACAGAUCAAGAGUUGCCCCAGGGGGUGUGCAUGACCUUGCACUACCAGGAUUGCACAUGUUUCAGAACAACUAAGUGGCUUCCAGAAGGCAUCUUAAGAGAUGGCAAAGAGAAGCUGCAGGGCAGAAAGCAUGAGAUAGUUGCUGUUGUUGAUGCAAGGUGCUGUCAGGUGAUGGCUUCACCAAGCUGGUUGCUGUAAAAUUUCGGGUCAAGAGGAUGUGACCUGGGGCACGAGAAGCGGCUGACACCAGCUCUUAAAAGCACAUGAGUCUAAUGAAAAUCUGUCUGCUCUGGAAAUAAUGAGCACAGGCUUAUACCCAUCCUUUCUGGACAGAAGUCAGAGAAAGGGGCACUCAGAGCAAGGGGCAGCCAGAGACAGAAACCAGUUGGGAGCAGAAGAAGCCAGGGCAUCGGGGGCAUUGCCCUUGCCUAGGACCAACACCUUCUCUGUGCUUCAAACACAGACCAAGCCCUGGAUGGGAGUUUUUCUUUCUCUCUAUUCACAUUUCUGGUAUUUGGUUGCUACUUAUUUUAACUUUCCGUCUCUGGCAGAGCAAUGCCAUCUGCCAGCCAUUUUUUUAUCUUCACAUAAAUUACUUUAUUGUUUUA